AAUCAUAAUAAUUCCAACUGUUGCCACUGGUAUGGAGUCCUCUGCCACAACCUUACUUCCCAUCUUCUUCAGCUUCACCUCAACACUGGUAUGGAGUCGUCCGUGGAUUGGAUGAGGAAGCUUAUAGGAGAUGGAGCUUUGGUGGAGAGAUAAGUCCUUGUUUGGCUGAUUUAAAGCAUUUGAAUUACUUGGACUUGAGCGGCAAUUAUUUUCUUGGAGAAGGUAUGUCAAUUCCUUCUUUCCUUGGGACAAUGACUUCCUUGACUCACCUCAACCUCUCUUUAUACUGGAUUCUAUGGGAAGAUUCCUCCUCAGAUUGGGAAUCUCUCUAAGCUUCGAUAUCUUGACUUGAGCGACAAUGAUUUUGAAGGUAUGGCAAUUCCUUCUUUCCUUGGGACAAUGACCUCCUUGACUCACCUCGACCUCUCUGAUACUGGAUUCAUGGGGAAGAUUCCAUCUCAGAUUGGGAAUCUCUCCAAUUUGGUCUAUCUUGAUUUGAGUUAUACAAACCUAUCCAAAGCAUUUCAUUGGCUACACACUCUCCAAUCUCUUCCUUCUUUGACCCACCUAUAUUUGUCAGACUGCACACUCCCUCACUAUAAUGAACCAUCCUUGCUCAACUUCUCAUCUCUGCAACACUUGUAUUUCCCAUGGACUCACAAGACUUGCAGUUCAGAGUUCACGACUUUCAGGCAAUCUGACAGAUCAUAUUGGGGCAUUUAAAAAUAUUGAGUGGCUAGAUUUUUUCAACAACUCAAUUGGUGGUGCUCUUCCUAGAUCAUUUGGAAAACUUUCAUCAUUAAGAUAUCUCGAUCUCUCUAUGAAUAAAUUCAGUGGAAAUCCAUUUGAAAGUCUUGGAUCACUCUCUAAAUUGUUAUUUCUUCAUAUUGACGGCAAUCUUUUUCACCGAGUUGUCAAGGAAGAUGAUCUUGCAAAUCUUACAAGCUUGACGGAGUUUGCCGCAUCGGGGAACAAUUUCACUUUAAAAGUGGGUCCCAAUUGGAUUCCUAAUUUUCAACUUACCUAUUUGGAUGUGACAUCAUGGCAGUUAGGUGGUCCCAGCUUUCCAUUGUGGAUUCAGUCACAAAACAAACUUCAAUAUGUUGGACUAUCUAACACGGGGAUUUUCGAUUCUAUUCCCACACAGAUGUGGGAAGCACUUUCUCAGGUUUUGUAUUUAAACCUCUCUCGUAAUCAUAUCCAUGGUGAGAUUGGGACUACAUUAAAGAAUCCAAUAUCUAUCCCAACUAUUGAUCUAAGCUCAAAUCACUUGUGUGGUAAAUUACCCUAUCUUUCAAGUGAUGUGCUUCAGUUAGAUCUUUCAAGCAAUUCAUUCUCUGAAUCCAUGAAUGACUUUUUAUGUAACGAUCAGGACAAGCCAAUGCAAUUACAAUUUCUGAAUCUUGCAUCAAAUAAUUUGUCAGGAGAGAUACCUGAUUGCUGGAUGAAUUGGACAUCUCUUGUGGAUGUAAAUUUACAAAGCAACCAUUUUGUUGGGAACUUACCCCAAUCCAUGGGUUCCUUGGCAGACCUGCAGUCUUUACAAAUUCGUAACAACACACUCUCAGGGAUAUUUCCAACCAGUGUGAAGAAGAAUAACCAAUUGAUAUCCUUGGACCUUGGGGAAAAUAAUCUUUCAGGAACUAUUCCAACAUGGGUUGGAGAAAAGCUCUUAAAUGUGAAAAUCCUCCGCCUUCGAUCAAACAGAUUUGGCGGCCACAUUCCAAAUGAAAUAUGUCAGAUGAGUCAUCUUCAGGUUUUAGACCUUGCACAAAACAAUCUGUCUGGCAAUAUACCGAGCUGUUUCAGUAACUUGAGUGCCAUGACACUAAUGAACCAAAGUACAGAUCCUCGUAUCUAUUCUCAAGUACAAUAUGGUAAGUAUUACUCUUCCAUGCAAAGUAUAGUUAGUGUGCUACUAUGGCUGAAAGGAAGAGGAGAUGAGUACAGAAACAUUCUGGGUUUGGUAACUAGCAUUGAUCUGUCAAGUAACAAGUUAUUAGGGGAAAUACCAAGAGAAAUCACAUAUCUAAAUGGAUUGAAUUUUUUAAACAUGUCCCACAACCAAUUGAUUGGUCAUAUUCCACAAGGUAUAGGUAAUAUGAGAUCAUUACAGUCCAUUGAUUUUUCGAGGAAUCAACUUUCUGGUGAAAUCCCUCCAACCAUUGCAAAUUUGAGCUUUCUGAGCAUGCUAGACUUGUCAUACAAUCAUUUGAAGGGAAAUAUUCCAACAGGAACUCAAUUGCAAACCUUUGAUGCCUCCAGCUUCAUCGGCAAUAAUCUAUGUGGUCCACCACUGCCCUUAAACUGCAGCUCCAAUGGGAAAACCCAUAGUUAUGAAGGAAGUGAUGGGCAUGGAGUGAAUUGGUUUUUUGUCAGUAUGACAAUUGGAUUUGUUGUGGGAUUCUUGAUAGUGAUUGCUCCUUUGCUGAUUUGUAGAUCAUGGCGGUAUGCCUAUUUUCAUUUCCUUGAUCAUGUGUGGUUCAAACUUCAAUCUUUUCGCUUAGGUAGUAUCACUGUUUAGUGUUGCUUAGAAUACUCCGAAGUUUUAUCAUUGUAUUGGCAGGUUGAUCAAUUUGUAGUCAUUGCUAUCUUCUUUUUUUUUUCAAAUUUGAGAGCCUUAUUUAAAUUCUGUUUUUGGAUGUAAAGAGGGAGAGUAGCUGAACGUAAAGAGGGGAAGGAUAGGAGGUGUGGGGACAAUAGUAGCCCAUAUAUAUAUAUAUAAAUGAUUAUAUGUGUGAUACAACAAAAUCCAGGAUAGAUAAAACAACCCAUACCAACUAUACAAAUUACAAGUUAAUUAUUAUUUUUACAUAUUUUGAUGCACAAUAAAUAGCACCAACACAACAAUGUUAUAUUUACUAAUAUAUUUUUUAAUAUUAACUNNNNNNNNNNNNNNNNNNNNNNNNNNNNNNNNNNNNNNNNNNNNNNNNNNNNNNNNNNNNNNNNNNNNNNNNNNNNNNNNNNNNNNNNNNNNNNNNNNNNNNNNNNUUACAGUAAAAGUUAAUUUCUUAUGAAACAUGCUUCAUUUAGCUUAUUUUAAAAAUUAAUGUAAUAACAUUUUUAUUAGAUGUAAAUAAAGAAGAGUAAUUAUUUUAAAAAGAAUUAUAUAAACAUACACUUAUUAGUAUUGGAUAUGACUUUACACUCCAUAUAAAACAAAUUCAAUAAACGACACCUGAAUCUUUUGUUCAUAAAUUUAGGGGCAUGAAAGGUGCAUACAUUUUUCUAGGAGUGUCACAUUCCUACUAUUGUACGUAUCCCACUUUUUCUCUUUUUCAGAAUGAUAGAUACCACCACGCAUAUUGUUUCUGGUUCUAUACUCCUUUCAGGACAGAUUCCUCCAUGCACAGUGGUAUUUGGCUAAAGAGUGUUGUGCAGGUACGUAUAAAAAAAACAAUUCGACACGCAAAUUUCCAAACAGAGCACUAAAAUGGCAAAUAUUACAUACCUGAAUAUAUCUAAAUUUGGGUUUAUACAACUGACUAAUAAGAUUUUAAAAAACAGUUUGCCAUUGCAAUUUCUACUUGAUCAUGAUUUACUAAACAUAUUCUUUGAGGAGUCUUUGUAAUUGCAACAUGACAAUAAUUAAUUAUGACUGUAUCAAUUAUAUUUGUCCAUAGUAUUUUCCAAUACAAAAAUCACGAGAAAACUAUAACAACAACUGUGGUGGGUGAAUGCAUGCAAGUGAUGCAACACAAACCUUGGGGUGGGGUCGAUCCAAUUCAGAUGGCUAUGACUAGGAGGGAUGAUCUAGGCCCAAAAUGUUUGAACUUUGAAUCUACAUUUGGGCAUAUAUAUGUGUACUCUGCCAAUACAAAACAAUUAUUUUAUAUUUUUAUCAUUUAAUAUUCAGUCUCUCUUUUACACUAUUAAUACAUAUAACUUGAGUGAGUUUAUCCGAUGUGCAUCAAGCAUUUUUUUUUUCUGUGGCGGUGCAAGAUCUUUUACAGUUGCUGAUGUGUGUAAUUAUAACCACCGCCAUGAUUGGUAUGAGCCUCUGUCUAAUCUUAAAGUAAAGCUUUUCUGCCUUUGAUGAGUGUUAAAUUGACUCAAUAUAAUUGUUGUAGUUAUAAACAAUUGUACUUCAUUAUAAAGAGUUUUUAUCUGCAAUUUAAGUAACACGUUUAAUCAUAAAGUAAUAGUAUAUACGUACUCCGCACAAUGGUGGAAACAAGACUAACAAUGAUCGACAGGGUAGUUAUCGGACUAAUUUAACAGUAUGAAUAACACAACAAUUGAUGUUGGGGGAAAUAAAAUAAAGUGAAAUAGUCUUUAAAUAAUUGUUGCAUAACACAUGUGAAUAACACAAAAAUUGAUUCUUAGGGAAAUAAUAUUUUUUAUAUAGAUUUUUUAAUUGAAAUAGUCUUUAAAUUAGACUAUAUUCCUAUAAUUGAAAUAAUUGUUGCAUAACGCAUGUGAAUUAUUUAUUAUGAAAUUGGUGAGUAUUAUCACGUCUUGAUUCAAGCGUGUGAUUCAUGUGUAAUGUGAUUUAUGAUUGAAAAAAAAAAUUAAAUGAUAAAGUUGUGAAGUGACGUAGAUUGUAUUAAGUUGAACUUAUUAUACUUAUAUUAAAUAGAUAUGAUUUUGUUUAUCUCUAUCUGGUUAGGAAUGUGAUAACUCACUCUCUGUGACUGUUUGUGUUUGAAUCCUGAGAUGAUUUCGAAUCUUGUAUUCGUGGGAAUAGAUGACUAUGUAGAUUACUUUGAGGAACUUUGUGAUGGAGCACGACAAGAAACAAUGCUCUGAUAUGAUAUGACAUUGGACAUGCGUUUUUGUUUAAAUUGCAUGAUUUUUUGAGCUUGAAAUGUUUCUGAUAAGUUUUAUUUAGUAAUAGUGAAGUGAAUAUGAACCUUUUUACCAUGUGGAUUUGUUUAUGUGAUGUGAAUAAAAUUGAUUUAAUUAAAUUUUAUAUUUUUAUAUGUUUUUAUUUAUUUAUAUAUAUGUCAGGGUAGAGGGUGUCACAAGAAACAAGAAACAAUUUUCUUUCUUAAGUCGAAAGUAAUGAUUUUCAAGAAAGCUUGGAUUUUAUUCUUUGAUUUCUUUUUUUUUAUUAUUUUGGCAGUUUUAAACACCCAGAUAUUAUAAUUUAACAUAUAAUUUAACAAACACCCAGUGUAUGCAAAGUAAAUUGAGAUGAAAUCAAUGAAAAAAUCAUUGGGGUUUAAUUUCAUUGAAGUUUCUAUCAUGUAAUCACUACACAUUCAUAUUUAAUAAAGGUUAUAUUAUCAUAAAUCCACCAUAUUAACUUUAAUUCCUUAAGUGAAAAGACCUAAAUCCCUUGAUUAUAUCAAUCCCUUGAAUUAAUAUAACCAAAUGAUGUGCAUUAAGAUAAAGUGUUUAUUGAUGCUCAAUUCUUUUUAUCUUAUUCCUAGACAUAAAAAUUAUUAGGUGUUCUUUCAAUUCGUAGCCCAAAGGAAUUUUUCAAUUACAAUUGAAUAAAAAAAAAAAUAGGUGAUCAAGCCAAAAACACAUAUUAGACACAUAAGGGAAACAAUUACAAUGCUUUAUUGAAUAAAAAGUAGUCAUUACAUGAAAAAAGAACCAAUUACAUUAAAGUCCAGCAGAAAAGAAGAUUAGUUUAUGGCAAUAAAAAAACAGAAAGGACAUAUAUCACAUAAUAUCCCAAAAUGACACCAAAAUCUAAAAAUACAUGAUAAUUAUCAAUCAUUCAAAGUUAACUUAGGAUAAAAAAGUAGCAUAUUAAAAUUUUAUAGGGAUAGAAAUGAUAUAUUUUAGCCUAUUUUUUCAUGCUUGACUUAACUCUCAACAUUUGUUGUCAAUGAUAAGAAACUUUGACAUAGAUUUGAUGGAGUGGCCUAUGGUUCAAGUUGAAAAAGUGGGGACCUUGAUAUGGAUUUGGUGGAGUGACUAGUGGUUUCUCUGUUUUCAUUUCUUUUACUUUGAAUAAUAAACAUUUGAUAAUUUAAAAUUAAUUAUGGGUUCAAAUUGCAAGUAAUAGAAUAGUUGAAUUUUAUAAUGAAGACUUUUUGUUAUUUACUUAACACAGGUGUAACGAAAGGACUGAUUUAAAUAAUAGUUAAAAUUUGAAGACUAAUUAAGUUAAAUUUAAUUACCUUUGAUGUAACCUACUCAAAGUUUUAAAAAAAUCAUUAAUAUUUUCUUGAAAUAAAAUUUUCAUUGAUUUAAGCAAUUCUAUACUGUAAACUACAAUAAAAAAUGUUUCUUAUUUUAGUAUUUUGCACAAGAAUAAAUUGUACUGCUUUGUAGAUUGUUUAAGUUAUCGUAUGAAUUUGUUUUUUGAGAAUAUUAUAUUGAUCCUGAGUAUUUUUAUGAUUGUUUAAAUUUUGCACUUGCAAUUAUAUAAAAAGUAAAAUGGAAAUUAAAAUUAUGUUUCUCCUCUUAUUUAAGUUGAUAACUUGUAAAAAAUACAAAAUAUGAUACUGAUUUUUUUUAGAAAAAAAAGUUAAUAUUCUUUUUCACACUUCUUUUUUUAUAACUAAUUAAUUUUUAUAUGAUAAAGAAAAUAAUAUUCAGGUUCGAAUACAAAUAGAAAUACGUGAUACAACAACCUUUUCAAUUGAUGACAAUUAAAUCUAGUCUUUUUUUCAUAUAUAAGAGAAUAUUAUUUUGUGAAUUUUAAAAUUGAUCAAAAUUAAAUAGCUAGAUUGAAACUAAAUAAUCUUUUUUUAUAUAUAGAUUUUUUAACGGAAAUAGUCUUUAAAGUACACCCUUUUCUUAUAAUUGAUUUAUUCAUCAAUUAUAUUUUUUUUUCCUUGCUUGACUUAAUUUGCAACAUUUGUUGUCAAUGACAGGGAACUUGAUAGGAAGGUAAUGCAUUGACCUAUGGUUCAAGUUGAAGAAGCCCGACCUUAACAUGGCUGGACUUUGUGGAAUACGUGUCCAAAGGUUCAAGAUGAAAAAAUGAAAAACCUUGAGAUGGACUUGAUGGUGUGGGCUAUGAUUUAGAAGACAAUUUUCUUUUACAUUAUUUUUAGUUUGAAUAUUGAAAAUUUGAUACAACAACCAUUCCAAUGACGAUGACAAGUGCAGAUCCAUUAAGUUUGCUGUGGAUUGGGGCAAUAAUCACAAGCAAAGGGUAAUCUUGAAGUUUUGCUUCUUCACUAAGGCUAGAAUAUAAUUCUUACCAAGUUAAUUAAUCCUAAAAGAAUUCACCGAGGCCUCGGAAUAUUUGAUUUAAUGGUGAAUCACUUAAUAUUAAUCAGGGUCAAACCUGACUACAUAGUUAUAAGCAAAUCAAUGUUUAAUAGUACCUUUUAAGAUUUAAUAUAAUAACCUUGGCCCAAAAGCCUAACAUGUUUCAUCCUUUACAUUAUUGCACAAUCCAUAUGCAGAUAUACUAUAUACUAAAAUGUGAGCUUAUACGAAUAAUAAACAACAAUUACCUACUAAUGCAAAACUUUUUGGAGGAAAUAAAUAAAUUAAACAACACUUUCUCAAUGUUUAACUUGUUCCAUUUCAUUUCUAUUUGUGAAAUUUAUCAGGCACAUCAAAUUGGCAAGGUGGCGAGUGAUUUCAUUCAAGAAGAGGUAAAGAUGGACUACGUGUACGACUACAUUUUUCAUCUCCUGAAUUCAUAUGCUAAACUCUUCAGAUACAAACCCUCCAUAAGUGCUAAUGCUACAGAACUAUGUGUGGAGUCAAUGGUUUGUGGAGCAGAAGGAUCAGUAAAGAAAUUUAUGAUGGAAUCAUUGGUCAAGGUUCCUGCAAAUACCGACCCUUGCACCAUGCCUGCCCCUUUUGAUCCUCCAACUUUGUAUGCAACAUUACAGAGAAAGGAAAGCUCAAUUCAACAAGUUGAAUCAUGGGAGAAAAGUUAUUGGGAUAAUCAAACCAUAACAUCUUAAUGAAUAUUUUUUUCUUUUUUUCCAUAUUCAACUUAACUCAUUCAUUCUUAGAAUAUCUUGGGAGGAUAGAAGUAGAAUCUAGAUUAUCUUGUACUUGGCUAAAGAAACCAUAUCAUGCUUGACGAAUUAUGAGUUUUAGACUUUACGAGAAAAAAAAUUAGUUUGUUAAUUUUGUAAUGUUAGAAACUUAUUAUUUUUCAAAAUGGAAAUGCUACAAGGUAAAUGUUCCACAUUAUCUCUAUUAUUCUCUUCUGAAAUGCAUUUCGCCUCCUUCAAAAUUACCUGUAUUUUUCUGCUACAACUUUAAGCAGACAACAUAAUUCAUAGUAGUAUAUAUGUAAGAAGAUUCCCAUGCAUAAUCCCUGAGUAGUAUUGGUAUAUUUGAAAAACAACACUCCUGCUCCAAAAUCGCAUAAUUUUAAAAAUAUGGCAACCAAAAUUGAGGAAUUAAAAGUUGAGAUCCAUGCCAACACUCUAUUUUCACAUAUAGCCUCAUAAACAUCUCCAUCAAAGAUUGGAUAUCUAGUUAAUUAAUGAAUCAAAUUUGUAAAAUUUGAAAAUAUGGGAACGAACGGAGCAAUUGAAAAGUGGGAUACCAAAAUCAUCCUCAAGUGUAAUUAAAAAAAAUAAUAAGAUUUUAAUUUCUAUUACAACAAGUCGUUAUUACUUAUUAGAGAUAAAAGACUUUUAGGACUGAACAAUAAGAUUUGUGUAACAAGCAUAUAGUUGUAUGAGAUUAAAGGCAAAAUGCUCACAAAAAUAAAUCUCCAAUAAGGUUUUGCAAUAAUGUCUAUUGUGAGUCUGUCAGAGAUUUAAUACACUCAAGAGUGUAAAUAAUUUUUACACUAUCAACUCAUCAAUGGUUUACAUUUUAACGUGAUAUGAAAAUGGUAAUAUAUAGGUAAUAUUUGAGUUAAGCUCAUGAAAACCAAAUUAGAAGCCCUGCAACUGCAACCAAACUUUCUAACAAUCUCUUCCCGAUAUAAGAUGCACUAUUCUUAGCUGUGGCCGUUUCAUCUGUCCCCUGCUUUCUACCAUUCUGGGAACUUCCUUCAACUGAAUGCACAAAAUAACACAUUAAAAAUAAAUGCAAAAUUUAGUACUACACCAUUGAAACUCAAAAGUCAAUGUAAAAAAUAAAUUCCAAAAAUGAAAUAUUUUGUUGAAAGGAUCACUACCAGAAGAAGUGGGCGAAGGACUGAUAGAACCACCAUUGGAUUUCUGAUCAAUUUGAUUAAAAGCUUGAGCUUCAGGUGAUUUAGGAUCCAAGUGCAGAAGGGUUGCUCAAAUCAUUUCAAACAAGAAUUUCUUGAGAAAAAAUCAAACCUCAAAUAUUUUUAACUUUCGGAGUUGAAAACUCAGAGGUAAUAGAUACACAAACAAAGUAAAAUUGGCAGAUUUAGAUGCCCUUGUUUUCCCCUUUAAAAUGUGUUAUUGUCCAGUUACGAAUGAGAAAAGUAGAAAACUUUGAAGUACAUGACUUGUUGACCAUUCAUUACAUAGUAAAUGGAAUGUGACACUCUUUUGUUCUUUAAGGAAAAUGAAAGGCUUGAUAAUGAUAAAACUUAGACCACAAAUAUUCUGAUUUUUUUUAGAAAUAUACUAAAAUUGGAAGAUUUAGGGUCUGAGUAUUCUCAGUUAAGAAACUGUUUUAUAAAAUAAUUUUAGACUACUUAGUAAUCAAUUUCUCUUCCAAAAUAUAUAAGUUUGGAGAAUCGUAUCCAAAAUAAGUGUUCUAAAAUCCAAAAAAUAAAAAACAUCGGGAAAACGUUUUCUCUGCUUCUUCUGUUUUAAUCUUGUUCAAGUUCCCUCUCAAUUCCACAUUCUGUGUCUCACAUCAUUCUCCACCAAACAGUCUGAAGAACUUGUUUAGUUGUAUCUUGAAAACUAAAAAUAGUUUUUGAAAAUAGAAAUAAAGACUUUUUUUUUCCUAUUAAAAACAGGUUAUCAUCAAACAAUGAAAGAUAAAAACAUAAGUUUUUAUAUGGCCACCACUAACAAGACUUAUAGAUCAUUCAUUGCAUAGGAAAUGGAAACAUAACACUGUAGUGUAGUGUUCUUUAAGAAAAAAAGGAAGACUUAAUUUGAAAUUGAACAUACCAGAACACUGUGAGAAAUUAUCAGGUGUUUUGCAAAGAGAAGGGAGACCAGCAGCAAUUGUCAUGUUAAUCUUUAAGCCAAGAUCAGGAUCAUCCCUGUCUUUGAGAAUAACGCAGACACACUUCUUGUUGGUCUUCAUGGCUUGUGUGAGACCACUGGAACAAUCUGCUGUGGGUGCUUUCGUGUCACCACCCAAAUAUGGCAGACACGUUGUAACACCUGUUAGGGAUUCUGCACAUCUCUGUUUGUCUUGAGCUGAAUCUCCCAUUGCAUGACUAACCAAUACCAAUGUUAUUGCUAACACUAGCAAGUGUGGUAGACAAGCAUUUGAAUCCAUUUUUCAAUCUUGAUGAAUGAAUGAGUGGAGAUAGAUUAUAUUAUAGUCUAUGGAACAAGUUUAGAAUGAGUAUACAGAGCAGGGUUGUAGCUAGAAAUUGUUAAGUUGUGGUGCUACAUGUAAAAUGUUGGUUUUUUUUUUAAAAAAAAAAAUUAUAGAAGGUUCUGUAGUGUGUUAUGUUUUAGAAAAAUUUGGGAAGGAAACUAGUGGAUGAAAUAAAUUCUGUGGUUUCAUUGUGAACUCACGGAAGAAGACCAUUUAGUUUGUUAACUUAGUCUGGAUCAUUUCAUGUGUGUGAAUGUGGAGAGCUUAGUGUUUAUUUAUUUAUUCCACUAAAGAGUUAUAUAUUAUUUCUCGUGGUUAUUUAUUUAUUUAUUUUUGUCUAGAGCUUAGUGUUCAUAUGUGUGUGAAUGUGGAGAGCUUGAGGGAGACGGGGUGGAAGACAAGUUUCAAAUAAAUAUUGAAGGUACGUCAUUAUUUAACGAUGGAGAUUUAAAAUAAAAUUUUUUAAAUAUUAAAGAUUUUCUUUGAAGAAAAAAUUUGUCAAAGAUCAAAUGGUCGAAUAUAUAUUAUGAAUUAAACACAUUUUUUUUUUUACUCUUUUGAUUCUCACCAUCAAGUUUCGACUAACGUCAAUUGUUGAAACUAAGGUUGUGGAGAGGGCAAAGGCACUCUCUUAGCACACACGAGACGUGGCUGAUCAUCUUUUCCCUCAACAACAAACCGGAACCUGCAACAUCAUCCCAACCAUGAAGGCACAAACUACCAUUAGAACGAUCAACUUAGUUCAAUGCUGUGAUACCACUCCAACUUGAUGAGUGACAAUGAAGAAGGAGAUUACAUCAGGGCAAUUGGCAAAUGCUAAGCUUGCAGGGGUCGGUGGCAGACUCAAGAAUAAUGGAAUGUGUAUUGGUUUAGUCCCAUACCUCCAUUGCAGUUCAGUUGUGCCUGAGUUUGCUUCCCUAUUUUUAUUAAUUUUGUUCAUGUUUAUGUGUGAGUUGAAACUUCCUGCUGAGGACCAAAAGGUUAAAAAAUUAUAAAUAUAGGAACCAAAAUAAAUGUUUAAAAUUAUAGGGACUAAAAAGAAAAAUUAUCACAACUAUCAAGACUAAAAGGGUAGUUAAACCAAAAUAAAAUAAACUAGUGCAAAAUAAUGGUGGUGUGAUUAGACACUUUUAAUCCUAAAUGGCUCGUUGUAGACAUAUAUACCUCUACAUAUUUGUGCAUUCUGCAACCACCACCAUUAGUGGAAUAAAAUUUUAAAUGCAAACCCUUCUAUGGUAUAUUCUAUAUACGCAUUAUUAGUCUAACAAUAAAAUAGCUACGAUACAUGGAGAUGGAGAAGUUUGAAGCAAGACUUAUAAAAGAAAAAAUUAUGGUCUGUGUAAUUAUGGUAGACCAAGUUAAACAAGCAUUAUAUUUCACACUUCUUUGUAUCUCACUAAUUAAUUUUUAUAUUAAAAAGAGAACAAUAUCUAGAUUCAAAUACAAUUAGAAAUUAAUAGACGACACAACAACCUAUUACAAAUUAUGACGAUGAAAACUAGCCCUUUUUCAUAUAUAAGAAAAAUAUCAUUUUGUGAAUUAAAAAAGAAAUAAGAAUGAAGAAAGAAAGGCAGUUGCGGCAGUAUAAAUAAUAGAAAGAAGUAAGUUUAAUAUGCAGAAGCAAGAAGCACUUAUACAAUUAAGUUGUUUCAUAUAUGCGUUGCAUGAACAUGAAUUCCUCCUCCAUUAUUUAUAUUGUUGUGUUUGUGGAGCUUUGGUUGUUUAGGUUACCUUGCAGAGAGAGUGUGUGCAUCCCAAGUGAGCGUGAGACACUUAUGAAGUUUAAGAAAUGCAAACCUAUCCAAAGCAUUUCAUUGGCUACACACUCUCCAAUCUCUUCCUUCUUUGACCCACCUAUCUUUGUCAGGAUGCACACUCCCUCACUAUAAUGAACCAUCCUUGCUCAACUUCUCAUCUCUGCAAACUCUCCAUCUUUCCGUUACUAGUUAUUCCCCUGCCAUUUCUUUUGUCCCCAAGUGGAUAUUCAAAUUGAAGAAACUUGUUUCUCUUCAAUUACGGGGUAAUGAAAUCCAAGGUCCGAUUCCUGGCGGUAUUCGAAACCUCUCACUUCUUCAAAAUCUUGACUUGUCUGGAAAUUCAUUCUCAUCUUCUAUACCUGAUUGCUUAUACGGUCUUCAUCGUCUCAAGUUCCUGAACCUAAUGGACAACAACUUACAUGGGACUAUUUCUGAUGCCCUGGGAAAUUUGACUUCUCUUGUUGAACUUGAUUUGUCAUAUAAUCUACUUGAAGGAACCAUUUCAACUUCUUUGGCUAAUCUCUGCAACUUAAGGGAGAUAGGUUUAUCAUAUCUCAAACUCAACCAACAGGUUAAUGAACUUUUAGAAAUUCUUGCUCCUUGUAUUUCCUAGGGAAUCACAACACUUGCAGUUCGGAGUUCACAACUUUCAGGCAAUCUGAUAGAUCAAAUUGGGGCUUUUAAAAAUAUUGACAUGCUAGAUUUUUCCAACAACUUAAUUGGUGGUGCUCUUCCAAGAUCAUUUGGAAAACUUUCAUCAUUAAGAUAUCUCAAUCUGUCUAUUAAUAAAUUCAGUGGAAAUCCAUUUGAAAGUAUUGAAUCACUCUCUAAAUUGUCAUCUCUGCGUAUUGAUGGCAAUAAUUUUCAAGGAGUUGUCAAGGAAGAUGAUCUUGCAAAUCUUACAAGCUUGAAGGAGUUUCAUGCACCAGGGAACAAUUUCACUUUAAAAGUUGAUUCCAAUUGGCUUCCUAGUUUUCAGCUUACCUAUUUGGAUGUGGGAUCAUGGCAGUUAGGUCCCAGCUUUCCAUCGUGGAUUCAGUCACAAAAAAAACUUAAAUAUUUAGGCAUGUCUAACACAGGGAUUAUUGAUUCUAUUCCUACACAGAUGUGGGAAGCACAAUCUCAGGUUUUGUAUUUAAACCACUCUCAUAAUCAUAUCCAUGGUGAGCUUGUGACUACAUUAAAAAAUCCAAUAUCUAUCCCAACUGUUGAUCUAAGCACAAAUCACUUAUGUGGUAAAUUACCCUAUCUUUCAAAUGAUGUGUAUGGGUUAGACCUUUCAACCAAUUCAUUCUCUGAAUCCAUGCAAGAUUUUUUAUGUAACAAUCAGGACAAGCCAAUGCAAUUAGAAAUUCUCAAUCUUGCAUCAAAUAAUCUGUCAGGAGAAAUACCUGAUUGUUGAAUUAAUUGGCCAUUUCUAGUGGAAGUGAAUUUACAAAGCAACCAUUUUGUUGGGAACUUACCCUCAUCCAUGGGUUCCUUGUCUGAGCUGCAGUCUUUACAAAUUGGUAACAACACACUCUCAGGAAUAUUUCCUACCUGUUUGAAGAAGAAUAACCAAUUGAUAUCCUUGGACCUUGGGGAAAAUAAUCUUUCAGGAAGUAUUCCAACAUGGGUUGGAGAAAACUCUUAAACAUGAAAAUCCUCCACCUUCGAUCAAACAGUUUUGUCGGUCACAUUCCAAAUGAAAUAUGUCAGAUGAGUCAUCUUCAGGUUUUAGACCUUGCACAAAACAAUCUGUCUGGUAAUAUACCAAGUUGUUUCAGUAAUUAACUUGAGUGCCAUGAAACUAAUGAACCAAAGUUCAGAUCCUCGUAUCUAUUCUGUAGCACAAAAUAGUAGACAUUAAUCUUCUGGAUAUAGUAUAGUUGGUGUGCUACUAUGGCUGAAAGGAAGAGAAGAUGAGUACCGAAACAUUCUGGGUUUGGUAACAAGCAUUGAUCUGUCAAGUAACAAACUAUUAGGAGAAAUACCUAGAGAAAUCACAAGUCUAAAUGGAUUGAACUUUUUGAACUUAUCCCACAACCAAGUGAUUGGUCAUAUUCCACAAGGCAUUGGUAAUAUGGGAUCAUUACAGUCCAUUGAUUUUUCUAGGAAUCAACUUUCUGGUGAAAUCCCUCCAACCAUUUCAAAUUUGAGCUUUUUGAGCAUGCUAGACUUGUCUUAUAAUCAUUUGAAGGGAAAAAUUCCAACAGGAACACAAUUGCAAACCUUUGAUGCCUCCAGCUUUAUUGGCAACAAUCUAUGUGGUCCACCACUUCCCAUAAACUGCAGCUCCAAUGGGAAAACUCAUAGUUAUGAAGGAAGUGAUGGGCAUGGAGUGAAUUGGUUGUUUGUCAGAGCGGCAAUUGGAUUUAUUGUGGGAUUCUGGAUAGUGAUUGCUCCUUUGCUGAUUUGUAGAUCAUGGCGGUAUGCCUAUUUUCAUUUCCUUGAUCAUGUGUGGUUCAAACUUCAAUCUUUUUGCUCAUGUAGUAUCACUGUUUAGUGUUGCUUAGAAUACACUGAUGUUUUAUCAUUGUAUUGGCAGGUUGAUCAAUUUGUAGUCAUUGCUAUCUUUUUUUUUUUCAAAUUUGAGAGCCUUAUUUAAAUUCAGUUUUUGGAUGUAAAGAUUUGCAUAUUCAGUAUAGUUUUGUACUUGAGAUCAACUAGUUGUAAUUCUCUGAUAGAAAACAUUAGCUAGAUCACGUAGAUUAAAUUUGAAAUAGUUGGUAAGUACUCUUGAGUUUUGAAACCACAUGUUGGGAAUCUCUCCAAUUUAGUGUGCACUGGAUAAUACUAUUCUCUAAUCCAAACCACAUAUUCGCUUGAAUUUUAUUUACUUAAGAUCAUGGAUGCAUUCUUGCCCACUUUAAAAUCAACCUUACCUUUAAUAAGAUUUAUUCUUUUACAUGUAUCCGUUUUGCAAUUAUGUACAACUUAAAAGGCAAAGAGACAAUGCUUGGCUUCAUCAAGACCAGUGGCAAGGAACAGGAGCACGAUAGCAAAAAAGCAUAAGCAUGACAUGCUUGUCUGCUACUGGUAUUUAAGAUCUAUAAAACAUUGAAAACAUUACAUUGUGAACAUUUGACGUGAAUAUUCAAAACUACAAUCUAUUGUAUCCUGUAUGAAAGACCAUUUGCAGAAUUACCCUCCUCUUAAAUGCCAAGUUGCCAAAUUAUUGUUGAAAUUUAUGUGUGUGGACUCCAACUAUGUAUGGCCAGGUAUGGAGGCUUCAAAAGUAGGACUUGGGUUGCUCAAAUUUGAGAGACAAAGUGUUUUGCCACAAGACGACGCAAAAUCUUUCCGGUGGCAGUCUUGGGCAAAGAAUCAGUAAUGAAGACCUUUUUAGGGACUUUGAAAGAUGCAAGAUUCUUCUUGCAAUAUCUUAGCACCUCUGCAUCAUCAAUGUUUGAUCCUUCUCUUGGGAUGACAGCACAAUAUAUCUAUUAAAAGGUAAAAAUAAAUAUGAUCAAUACAAAUUUCAAAGAACUAAUAGACACAUCAUAUGAGCAAAUAGCAAUCCACAAAUUUCUGAUUUUUUUUUCAUUUAUUCCUCUCCUAGUACAAACAAGAAAAAAGGUCAUAUACUAAUCUUUUGAGAAUUUUGAAUUAAUUAUGAAGGUUACGAAAUAUUGAACAUUUUAAGGAAAUUUUGGUAAUAUUGAUGAAAAACAAUAAAGGUUAUAACAAUUUAUUUCACAUGCAUAGAGGGUCACUAAGUGCGUGAGAAAGCAAGCAAGCAAGCUGUUGCUAGGUAACAAGUUGUUUUUUGUUGGGGAGAAUGACAUCAAAAGGUUAUGAAGUAGCUGGCCGUUUCAGAAGUUAAUUAAUCAUGCGUAGCCAAUAUUACACGAAACGCUUUUCAGAUUUGGUUAAUUUUACCUUUCGGGGAAACUAAAGUUAGGAAAGUAAUUUUUUGUCACAUGGUAAUCCAAAGCUAGGUAUCGUCAUGUCAUGUGUGCUUAAAAACAAACUUUAUGCCACUGGUUCAUAGAUACAUAAAGGAAAUUUCAAUCCAUCACAAAUUAUUCUUGCUAGGGAGAAACUAUAAUGUUUCUAUGAUAAAAAAAAAAAAAAACUAGGCUUGCCAUCCCUUUGAGAUCUUUCCUUUGAGAAUAUUUCAGUAAUGUUGAGAGCUUGUUAUAUUUAGUUCUUUGGUUUGUUAUAGAAAAUUCCUUGGAGAAGAUCAUUCAUGGAAAGCCCUCUGGGAUUGACAACACAGUAAGCGCAUACGGGCUUUUCUUUGUGGAUUAGGAAUGAAUACAUUCUUGGGGAUUUCUUUGUGGCUUAUUGUUUUCCUAGGAACAACUUUAUGCUUACAAGUCUACUGUUUCUAUUACUAUUAUUAAUGAUCUUUUACCUCUCCGAGGUUAAUAUGGCAAUAGCCAAAUCCAUAUUUAAUUUAGUCAUUGUCUGUUAAAUUUGUCUCUAUUUUACUUGAUUAGAGUGUGAUCUUUGAGGGCAAAAAUUGAUAAAAGUUAAAUGUCACAUAAAUCCUCAGAUUCGGUUUGAUUUGACUUUCAUGCACAUGUUACUAAGAAAUUAAAAAAAAUAAUAAAUAUUUUAUAUCAAAAUAUAUAAGAGAUAUAUGAUACAGAAUAGUUUGUAGUAAUAGUACUUGACUUAUAUUUUCAAAGACUUCUCUAUAUAAACAACAUUAUAUAAAUGCACUUUCAUUAUUUUUGGAAAUGUCUAUUUUUUUUUCACCUAAAGGAAAGGAAAACAUCAUGGAGGAAAUGUUCUCUAAAAACAAUUUGUUCUUCAUAUCCUUAUUUUGAAACAAAUCUUUUAAAAAUUUGAAGUGGUGGUUAAAAAUAUUUCAAUUUGAUUUUUCCUUGCAUACCACAUUUGUGUUAAGCAAAAUUUAGAUUCCCAUAUAGCAUCUCCGGCCAAUAUCCCAAAUACCUAUAAACAAAUGUAAAUGUAGAAUGAUUUAGAUUUAUUUCUUAAUUAUUGUUAAAAUAUAAUUGAAAAACAAAAAAUUAUUUGUAAAUUUAAUAUCCUGGAUUUAAUACAUUCAUGUGAUUAUCAAUGAAUUAAUCGUUACAUCAACAUUGUUCUCCAAUGAUAUUGGAUGUUCGUUUUGCAACAAAUGAUACGCGAUUGAAGAAAUAUCAGUUAUUAUCAAAUGAAAUUAAGUGCAAUAAAUAUUAGUUGUCCAGUAUCAAUUAUACUACGAAAUUAAUGAUUAAAUUGUUAAAUAUUUUUAUGAUAAUAAAUACGGGAUUUUUUGAUAAUUAGAAUUUAAUACAAUUAUUUAAAUUAGGUAUCAAUUAUUCUUAACGGAUACGAAAACUAAUGUCCCAAUUUGAAUUAAAAAAGAAUUUGAUUCACUAAAAAAAACCUAUAUGCAAAAAAUUUGGUAUAAAUUAAUUUUAAUGUGUAGCUAAAUAUAAAAUUGAAUGGGAAAAAAAUCACAUAUAACUAUAUGGUAUAGUAAUGCGAUGUUUAAUCUGAUGCGAGAUGAAAUUUGAUAGUCAAGCCUCCAAACCAAUCCGUGAAUUUCAUAAGGUGUAACUAAGUGAUUGUCAAAACACUAAAUGAAAUUAAAUAUGUUUUUAUUCUUAAUAAAUACUCAAAUUUUGUGUUUGUUUUUUAAUAAAUUAUUAUUUUACAUUGAGUUCCUAAAAAAUUAACCCUAAAUGAAAUUAAAUAUUGAUAUUAUUGUUGUUCUUCUACCUCCAACGUUGGUUGGCUCGAUAUAUGUGUGUGCUUAUUUUAACGUUAUUAGAUGCUACUUGUUUAUUUCGUACGUUAUUGUUGUCUGAAGCAUAGACACGUUGUGGAAUUCCUUAGAAAUUGUUUGGAAUGGUGUGUGAGAAUUCCCUCGGCCUGAGGACACAACAAAAUUAACACAUUGUCAUUUCGUCACAUGGUUGAGUUAUGAUAUUUAGACAUUUAGGUUUAUUGUAAAAAUUAAGGUUAUAGUAUAUCAAAAUCUUGCCCAUAACUUAGUAUUUCUAUCUUUUUACGGCUAUUUUGACAAUAUGACUCUUUUUUUUUUUUCAGGAGUGUGUGAUUUAGGCUCAUUCUAUUUAGAAACACUACAUGAUUAUACAGAGACUUGCUUAUAAUAUUAAGAUAAUUGUAUAUUUAAUUAAAUGAAUUUGAUGAUAUAAAGAUGAUCGUGAAAAGUUUACGAAAGAUAGUGUGCGUGGGCAAGAUGAAUAUGUUAGCUAUUUAGGUGUAACUUAUUGGAAAGUAAGACAUAGUUAUGUAGAUGUGGUAGGUUUAACCCUUGCUGCCAAAGUCAAAAAUUAAGUGGGAAAAAGAAAGAUAGAAACCCUCAGGGUAGCUUAUAGUUAGGAGGGCUCAAUAUGUCUCCCUUGACCAAACAAUUUUUAUAAAAUCAUAAUAUUUUUGUGUAUAAAAUUUACUUUAAAAUACAUUUAGUAAAACAUUUUAGUUUUACCUUUAUAAUUUUAAAAAUCUAAGACUUAAUAUAUGAGAAAAAUUUGCUAAAUAAAAUAUGAGAUCAGCUGAAUUUUUUAUUUUAAUAAAUUUUAAUAUAAAAAAUAAUAUAUUAGAAAAGUGUGUUAACAUUUCUCUUGAAAUGAUUAGUGUUUUUGCUAGCCUAUGUUCCUAACCGCAACAGGCGCCGAAAUUGUGGGUUAACCAGGCAUAGAGAAAUUCCAAAGGUUGUGAGUUGUAAGAAGUCUUUGAAAAUCACAUGUCCUUCAAAAAAAAUCCAAAUAAACUGAAACAAUGUUUGACUGAUCUAUUUCCUAUCUUCAAAGUUAAAGGCAAGUCUCUGGAGAAGAUGACUUCGAUAAAGACACAAUAAAACUGCUUCUGGUGAAGAGGGAAUUUCAAGACAUUGGUUCUUCCCUAAAACCAACUAACAUUCCAAAAUUCCUCACCAACCAUCCCUAUUAUAUUAGACAACCACACCCGUGUCUCAAUUAAAUAAAAAAUAUACAAAAUAUCACAAUAAGGAUAUGUCAAUUAAGAAUUUAAUUUAAAUACACUUUCAUUUGCAAUUAAUUAAUUAUAUAUAUUUCCUAUAACUUUUUUACUAAUUGUUUUACAAAUCAUUUGGUGAUUUCUAAUUAAUUAAUAAUUUAAAUUUUUACACUAUCUAUCAAAAUUAAACUCAUAUAUUAACAGCAUCAAAGUUAUUUUCGUUUUAAUUUUGAUACUUUUGUUCUAAUUAAGUAGUACUAGCAGUUGCCAUUCUCAUUAUUUUAUUAUAUAUACGUACAUUCUACAUUCUGCUUACAACUUACAAUGAAUGGAAAGAGUGGAGCUUGGACAUCAUUUGUCUGCAUGACAUUAACACCACUAAUGAUGGCUUAAAGAUCUUUAUCUUUGAGCUGUGUGUCUCUACUAAUCAACUAUAGUUAGCUAUUUUAAUUUAUGAUUGUCAACUUGAGAUACCAUUAAGAUAAAAGUGGUGUGAAAAAAGAGCAUCAAAGUAGGCGUACGUAUGGCGUCGAUCAAAAGUGGAGCUUACAACUUGCAAUGAAUGGAAAAAGUGGAGCUUGGACAUCAUUUGUAUGCAUGACAUUCACACCACUCACCAAAAGUGAGUGGAAAUUUUUAGACAAAAUAGAUGAAGAAUUAUUAAUGUUCAACCAUCAUUGGAAGUGGAAAGUUCAUUAUGAGAAAGAAAAGCAGUUCGCCAAAAUGGAAAGCAGUAGGUAAAGAAAGCUCAAGUAAUUUUCAACUUCUAGACAUUCCAUGUAGAGAUAAGAAAUGACAGUUCAUAGAAAAGAAAAGGAAAAAAAAAUGAUGGCUUAAAGAUCUUUAUCUUUGAGCUGUUUGUCUCUACUAAUCAACUAUAGUUAGCUAUUUUAAUUUAUGACUGUCAACUUGAGAUACCAUUAAGAUAAAAGUGGUGUGAAAAAAGAGCAUUAAAGUAUGCGUACGUAUGGCGUCGAUCAAGAGUAACAUCACUUGUUCUGUGAGGGAAACAAAAAACAUUACAAGUUCAAAAUUAAAAAUAAUAGAAUUCCCUUUAUAAAACACAUAUAUAAUUUGUUUCUCAAUUCUCAUAAGAAAAAACCACUUGCACUAAUGGGUUGGUACAAUGGUCCUUGUGGCAGCCAUCAUGCACAACAAUGCAAAUUCCCUGACUUGGUAAAAAAGGCUAGGAAGGAAUUCGUAAAAACCACUGAAUCAAAUUCUUUUGUAACAUUUGGAAAUAUGUGAGUGAGAUUUUCAAAACACCAAACAGUUAUAGUAUCAAAUGUUGUAUCUUCAAAUUUGGCUUCUUUCUACGAAAUAAAGUUGCAAAAACGGAAGACCGAGAGCUUAAUUAGACAUAGAAUUCAAAUGGAGCAUGCCAUCAUUGACAUGAAGACUGAUGAGAAGUUUGAAAUAACAUUUCUUACAUAGAAUUCAAAGAUUUCACAGGUAGUCCAUUGUUUAGAAUAAACUGCUACAUAUAUAUAACCCGUUGUUAAAAAAAGUAAUAAAAAAAUAAAAGGUUUAAUUAUCCUUUUGACCUUAAAGUUACGACAAUAUUUUUUUUAGUCGUUGUAGUUUAACUCAUGGGACCAGAAACUCACAAUCACACACUUUAUCUGCAGCAAUCAAAACCAUCAUCCCAUUGGAACGAUCAACUUAGUUCAAUGCUGUGAUACCACUCCAACUUGAUGAGAGACUGUCAAGAAGGAGAUUACAUCAUGGCAAUUGGCAAAUGCUAAGCUUGCAGAGGUCGGUGGCAGACUCAAGAAUAAUGGAAUGUGUAGUGGCUUUGUCUCAUACCUCCAUUACACUUCAUUUGUACCUGAGCUUGCUUCCCUAUUUUUAUUAAUUUUGUUCAUGUUUAUGUGUGAAUUGAAUCUUCCCCUCGAGGACCAAAAGAUAAAAAAAUUGUAAAUAUAAGAACCUUUUUAUAGGGAUAGACACCAAAAUCUAAGAAUACAUGAUAAUUAUCUAUCAUCCAAACUUAACUCAGGAUAAAAAAAAGUAGCACAUUAAAAUUUUAUAGGGAUAGAAAUGAUAUAUUUUACCGUAUUUUUUUUCAUGCUUGACUUAACUCUCAACAUUUAUUGUCAAUGAUAAGAAACUUUGACAUAGAUUUGAUGGAGUGGCCUAUGGUUCAAGUUGAAAAAGUGGGGACCUUGAUAUGGAUUUGGUGGAGUUGUCUGUGGUUUGUCUAGAAGACAAUUUUUUUUUCUUUUCUUUUAUUUUGAAUAAUAAAAAUUUGAUCAUUUAAAAUUAGUUAUAGGUUCAAAUUGCAUGUAAUAGAAUACUUGAAUUUAAUAAUACAAGACUUUUUUUGUUGUUUAUUUGGCACAAGAAUAAAUUAUAUUUCUUUGUAGAUUAUUUAAGUGUUCUCAUGAAUUAUUUUUUAAAAAUAUUAUAUUGAACGUGAGUAUUUUUAUGAUUGCUUAAAUUUGACACUUAAAAUUAUUUAAAAAAUAAAAUGGAAAUUAAAAUUAUGUUGCUCCUAUUAGUAUUUAAGUUGAUAACUUGUAAAGAAAAUAAAAAAUAUGAUACUAAUUUUUAUGAUAAAAAAUUAAGAUUCAUUUUCAAAUUAAUUAGAAAUAGACAAUUAACACAACAAAUUAAUAUUUCCAAAUAAUAAUAAUAUAUAAACUGAAAAGCUUAUGCAUUAAGAAUGCAAAUCUUCAUAAGUUAGAUAUUUCAAUAAAUUAUAUAUUUAUUUUUCUCUUCUAUCACUAUUCUUAAAAUAUCACCACACAAGUAAAUGAAAUUCAGACAAAGACUUUAAUAUAUGAAGACUUGUGGUCUAACAAUAAAAUAGCUAAGGCCAUAGAUAAAUAAUUUAAAAAAACAUGCGACACUUCUUGGUAUAUCAUAUCCUCUAAUUUACUUUUUAAGCUAAAUAUGAUCUACAAUAUAUGGAGAAAUUUGGACCAAUACUUAUAAAAGAAAAAAGUUAUGAUCUCAAUAAUUAUGGUAGACCAAGUUAAACAAGCAUUUUACACUUCUUUGUAUCUUACUAAUUAAUUUUUAAUGAAAAAGAAUAUAAUAUUCAGGCUAAAAUACAAUUAGAAAUAGACGACACAACAAUCUUUCUGAUUAAUGACAAUGAAAAUUAGUUUUUUUUCACAUAUAAGAAGAAUAUUAUUUUUUAAAUUAAAAAAUAGAUCAAAAUUAAAUAGUUAGAUUGAAUCGAAAGAGUCUUUUUUUAUAUAGAUUUUUUAACCGAAAUAGUCUUUAAAUUAGAUCAUUUUCCUAUAAUUGAUGUAUUCAUCAUUUAUAAUUUUUUUCCUUGCUUACUUAAUUCUAAACAUUUGUUGUCAAUGAUAUGGAACUUGAUAUGAAGGUAAUGUAGUGACCUAUGGUUCAUGUUGAAGAAGAUAGAGACCUAAAUAUGGUUGGCUGGACUUUGUGGAGUGUCCUAAGGUUCAAGAUGAAAAAAUGAAGGACAUUGACUUGGACUUAUGGAGUAGUCUAUGGUUCAAGUGGGAAAAGUGGGGUCCUUGAUAUGAAUUUGGUGGAGUGGGAAGUGGUUUGUCUAGGAGACUAGACAAUUUCUUUUAUUUGGAAUAAUAAAAAAUUGAUAUUUUAAAAUUAAUUAUGGGUUCAAACUGCAAGUAAUAGAAUAUUUGAAUUUUAUAAGGCAAGACAUUUUGUUAUUUACUUAACACGUACAGGUUUAACGAAAGGAUUAAUUAAUUUAAAUAAUAGUUAAAAUUUUAAGACUAAUUAAACCGAAUUUAAUUACCUUUGCUGUAAACUACUCAAAGUUUUAAAAAAAUUAUUAGUAUUUUCUUAAAAUAAAAAUUUCAUUGAUUUAAGAAAUCCUAUACUGUAAAUUAAAAUAAAAUGUUUCUUAUUUUAGUAUUUGAGACAAGAAUAAAAUAUAUUUAUUUGUAGAAUAUUAUUUACGUUAUCGUAUAAAUAUAUUUUUUAGAAUAUUAUAUUGAACGUGAGUAUUUUUAUGAUUGUUUAAAUUUGACACUUACAAUUAUUUAAAAAGUAAAAUGAAAAUAAAAAUUAUGUUUCUCCUAUUAUUUAAGUUGAUAACUUAUAAAAAAUACAAAAUAUGAUAUUAUUUUUUAUAGAAAAAAGUUAAAUUCUUUUUCACCACUUCUUUUUUUAUCAAUAAUUAAUUUUUAUAUGAUAAAGGAAAUCAUAUUUAGGUUUGAAUACAAUUAGAAAUAGAUGACACAAACAACCUUUUCAAUUGAUGAAAAUUAAAUUUAGUCUUUUUUUUCAUAUAUAAGAGAAUAUUAUUUUGUGAAAGCCAAAUUAGAGUUAAACCAAAUUGGUAAUAUAUAUAUAUAGGCAAUAUUUGAGUUAAGCUCAUGAAAGCCAAAUUAGAAGCCCUGCAACUGCAACCAAACUUUCUAACAAUCUCUUCCCGAUAUAAGAUGCACUAUUCUUAGCUGUGGCCGUUUCAUCUGUCCCUUGCUUUCUACCAUUCUGGGAACUUCCUUCAACUGAAUGCACAAAAGAACACCAAUUGUCCACUUAAGAGUUAUAUAUUAUUUCUCGUGGUUAUUUAUUUAUUUAUUUAUUUUUGUCUAGAGCUUAGUUUUCAUGUGGAGAGCUUGAGACGGGUGGAAGACUAAGUUUCAAAUGAAACUUUUUUUAGUAAUUGUUUUACAAAUCAUUAGGUGAUUUCUAAUUAAUUAACAAUUUAAAAUUUUACAGUGUAUCAAAAUUAAACUCAUGUAUUAACAGCAUCAAAGUUAUUUUCGUUCUAAUUUUGAUACUUUUGUUUUAAUUAAGUACUACGUACUAGUAGUUGGCAUUCUCAUUAUUUUAUUAUACGUACAUUCUACAUUCUGCUUACAACUUGCAAUGAAUGGAAAAAGUGGAGCUUGGACAUCAUUUGUCUGCAUGACAUUCACAUGUAGAGAUAAGAAAUGACAGUUCAUAGAAAAGAAAAGGAAAAAAAAAUGAUGGCUUAGAGAUCUUUAUCUUUGUGAGAGUGUUACUGCUUGCACCUCCUUGCUUGCUAUGCUAUCAUUUACUUAACAAAGGUGUAACGAAAGGAUUGAUUUAAAUAAUAGUUAAAAUUUGAAGACUAAUUAAACCAAAUUUAAUUACCUUUGAUUUAAAGUAUUAAAACAAUGAUUAAUAUUUUCUUAAAAUGAAAUUUCAUUGAUUUAAAAAAUUUUAUAUUGUGAUCAAAAAUAUAUUUUUUAUUUAUUUUAGUAUUCGAUCUCCAUAAGAAUAAAUUAUAUUUCUUAGUAGAUUAUUUAAGUUAUCAUAUGAAUAUUUUUUUUUGAGAAUAUUAUAUUGAACAUGAUAAAUUUUAUGAUUGCUUAAAUUUGGUAAUUAAAAUUAUUUAAAAAUUAAAAUGGAAAUUAAAAUUAUGUUUCUCCUAUUAUUUAAGUUGAUGACGUGUAAAAAAAAUACAAAAUAUGCUACUAAUUUUUUUUAGAAAAAAAUUAAUAUUCUUUUGCACACUUCUUUUUAUAUCACCAAUUAAUUUUUAUAUGAUAAAGAAAAUAAUAUUCAUGUUUGAAUACAAUUAGAAAUAGAUCACACAACAACCAUUCCAAAUGACGAUUAAAUCUAGUUUUUUUUCAUAUAUAAGAGAAUAUUAUUUUGUGAAUUAAAAAAUUGAUCAAAAUUAAAUAGCAAGAUAUGAAUGAAAUAAUCUUUUUUUAUAUAGAUUUUUUAACUGAAAUAGUCUUUAAAUUAGACCCUUUUCCUAUAAUUGAUGUAUUUAUCAUUAAUAUAUUGUUUGUGCCCUAUGGGCUAUGGUUCAAGUUGAAGCCAGAGAACAUAACAUGGCUGGACUUUGUGGAGUGUCCAAAGGUUCAAGAUGAAAAAAUACAGGACCUUGAGAUAGACUUGAUGGAGUCGGCUAUGGUUUAAUUAACAAAAUAAUAUUUAAAUUAACAAAAGUUGAACUUUUAAUAAAAGGCUUGAAUUAAAUAAUAGUUAAAUUCAAUACCAAAUUUUGUAAUAAUUAACAAAAGUUGAAUUAACAAAAUUUUGUAAAAGACUUGAAUUAACAAAAGUUGGACUUUUAAUAAAAGACUUGAUGGAGUCCAUGAAAUAGAAGACUUGAAUUUUUUUAAUAAAAUGUUGGACUUUUAUUGUUUAAUUAACAAAAGUUUAACGAAAGGAUAGAUUAAAUAAUAGUUAAAUUCAAUAUAAAAUUUUGUGUAUAUAGGAAUUUUAAAAAGGGAGAUAGAUAAAGUAAAUUCAAAAUUAUUUCCUAUUCUAAGAAUUAACUCGGGAGAAUUGGAUAAUAAAGUCAAUAAUUAAAAAAAGGAAACACAAUAAAAAAAAUAAAAAAGUCAAGAAAGACACUUGCAGCAGUAUAAAUAAUAGAAGUUUUAUGAUUUAUAUGCAGAAGCAAGAAGCACUUAUACAAUUAAGUUGUUUUCUAUAUAUGCGUUGCAGAAGUUGAAGAAGGCAGAGACCUUAAUAUUGGUGGACUUUGUGGAGUGUCCUAAGGUUGAAGUAGUCUAUGGUUCAAGUUGGAAAAGUGGGGACCUUAAAAUGGAGGACCUUGACAUAGACUUGAUGGAGUAGUCUAUGGUUCAAGUUGGAAAAGUGGGGACCUUGAUAUGGAUUUGGUGGAGUGGCCAACGGUUUCUCUAGGAGACAAUUUUGUUUUCAUUUCUUUUAUUUUGAAUAAUUAAAAUUUGAUAUUUAAAAUUAAUUAUGGGUUCAAACCGCAUGUAAUAGAAUGUUUGAAUUUUAUAAGACAAGACUUUUUGUUGUUUACUUAAUACGUACAGGUUUAACGAAAAGAUUGAUUUGAAUAAUAGUUAAAAUUUGAAGACUAAUUAAGCCAAAUUUAAUUAUCUUUGAUGUAAACUACUUAAAGUUUUAAAAAAAUCAUUAAUAUUUUCUUAAAAUAAAAAUUUCAUUGAUUUAAGCAAUUCUAUACGAUAAACUAAAAUAAAAAAUGUUUCUUGUUUUAGUAUUUGACACAAGAAUAAAUUAUAUUUCUUUAUAGAUUGUUUAAGUUAUCGUAUGGAUUUUUUUUUAGAAAAUUAUAUUGAACGUGAGUAUUCUCAUGAUUAUUUAAAUUUGGCACUUGCAAUUAUUUAAAAAGUAAAAUGGAAAUUAAAAUUAUGUUUCUCCUCUUAUUUAAGUUGAUAAGUUGUAAAAAAUAUAAAAUAUGAUACUGAUUUUUUUUUGAGAAAAAAAGUUAAUAUUCUUUUUACUUCUUUUAUAUAACUAAUUAAUUUUUAUAUGAUAAAUAAAAUAAUAUUCAAGUUAGAAUACAAUUAUAAAUAGAUGACACAAUAACUUUUCCAAUUGAUGAUGAUUAAAUCUAGUCUUUUUUUCCUAUAUAAGAGAAUAUUAUUUUGUGAACUGAAAAACUGAUUAAAAUUAAAUAAUUAGAUUGGAAGGAAAUAAUUUUUUUAUAGAUUUUUUAAUAGAAAUAGUCUUUAAAGUACACCCUUUUCCUAUAAUUGAUGUAUUCAUCAAUUAAUUGAGUUAGAUAUUUCAAUAAAUUGAAUAUUUAUUUUUGUCUUCUAUCACUAUUCUUAAACUAUCACCAUAAAUGAAAUUUAGACAAAAACUUUAAUAUAUGAAAACUUGUGGUCUAACAAUAAAUAGCUAACUCCAUAAUUUUAUAAUUUAAAAAACAUGUCACACUUCUUUGUAGAUCUUCUAAUUUACUUUUUAAGUUAAAUAUGAUCUACAAUACAUGGAGAAAUUUGGACCAAGACUUAUAAAAGGAAAAACUAUGAUCUCAAUAAUUAUGAUAGAUCACGUUAAACUUCUUUGUAUCUCACUAAUUAAUUUUUAAUAAAAAGAAAAUAAUAUUAUGAUUAAAAAAACAAUUAGAAAUAGACAACAGAACAAUCAUUAAUGACAAUGAAGAUUAAUUAGUCUUUUUCACAUAUAAGAAGAAUAUUAUUUUGUGAAUUGAAAAAUUGAUCAAAAUUAAAUAGCUAGCUUGGAAUGAAAUAAUUUUUUUUAGAUUUUUUUAACCAAAAUAGUCUUUAAAGUAAACUCUUUUCCUAUAAUUGAUUUAUUCAUCAAUAAUAUUUUUUUUCCUUGCUUGACUUAACUCGCAACAUUUGUUGUCAAUGACAGGGAACUUGAUAUGAAGGUAAUGCAGUGACCUAUGGUUCAAGUUGAAGAAGUCAGACCUUAACAUAAUGGCUGGACUUUGUGGAGUGUCCAAAGGUUCAAGAUGAAAAAAUGGAAAACCUUGAGAUUGACUUGAUGGUGUAAGCUAUGAUUUAGAAGACAAUUUUCUUUUACAUUAUUUUUAGUUUGAAUAUUGAAAAUUUGAUAAUUUAAUAUUAAAUUUGAUGAAAUAAAAGACUUGGUUUUUUUCUUAAAAAAAUGUUGGACUUUUGUACGUAACAAAAGUUUAACGGAAGGAUUGAUUAAAUAAUAGUUAAAAUUUGAAGUUUAAUGACACCAAAUUUUCAUUUAAGCAGUAUUAUAGAGUAAAUUAAAAUAAAAUAAUUCUUAUUUAUUUUUGUAAAAAAAAAACUGUACCUAUAUAAAAGAAUGUUUCUUAUGUUAGUAUUCAGCACAAGAAUAAAUCAUAUUUUUUUGUUAUUAAUUUUGAUUUUUUUUAUGAAUUUAGUGUAUAUAGGAAUUUUAAAAAGGGAGAUAGAUACAGUAAAUACAAAAAAUUUCGUAUUCUAAGAAUUAAUUCGGGAUAAUUGGAUAAUUAAAUCGAUAAUUUAAAGAGGCCAGCGUAAAAAAAGAAUGGAAGAAUAAUUUAGUAUUUGGCACAAUAAUAAAAAAGGUAAAAAAUAAUGAAAGUGAAGAAAAAAACAGGCAGGGCAGCAGUAUAAAUAAUAGAAGUUUGAUGAUUUAUAUGCAGAACCAACAACUACACUUGUUUUCUAUAUAUUCUUGUGUGAUCAUGAAUUCCUCCAUUUAUAUUCUUGUCUUUGUCCAGCUUUGGUUGUUGAGCUUACCAUGCAGAGAGAGUGUGUGCAUCCCAAGUGAGCGUGAGACACUUUUGAAGUUUAAGAAUAAUCUGAAUGAUCCUUCAAAUAGGCUUUGGUCUUGGAAUCAUAAUAAUACCAACUGUUGCCACUGGUAUGGAGUCCUCUGCCACAACCUUACUUCCCACGUUCUUCAGCUUCACCUCAACACUUCAGAUUCUGAUUAUGCAAAUUGGGAAGCUUAUCGGAGAUGGAGCUUUGGUGGAGAGAUAAGUCCUUGUUUGGCUGAUUUAAAGCAUUUGAAUUACUUGGACUUGAGCGGCAAUCUUUUCCUUGGAGAAGGUAUGU
rnacentral:lncRNA from 1 species